rnacentral:rRNA from 1 species
CGUUAGUCGUCCUAAUCAGGCGUAAAGGGUGUGUAGGCUGCUUUCAAAGUCAUAUCUUUCAAAUAGCUCUUAUAACGAAGAUCUGUUUAAAGGCAUAAYACUUUAAAUAUCUUCAUUCUAAGGKAAAGAUAGGAUGAAUAAAAGCUAGAAUCAAAACGAGGAUAAGCCAAAUAAUACUUAGAGUAGGGUCGAUAUCCGUAGAUACUAAGUGGAAUAUUAAAAGUGAAAACUAUUUAUCUAGAAAUGAUUGACGCUGAGAAACGAAGGUGAGAAUAGGAAAUAGGAUUAGAUACCCAGAUACCUCUCACUGUCAACGAUGAAUGGUGGUUUGUUAGUUUGWAGARAAACUAGUA